rnacentral:lncRNA from 1 species
UAGACGAGCCUUACCCCUGCCCGAAAGGGCAGAGAGGCUGUUUCCAAUCGACCCUCGGCGAAUAGGAUAAAGGAAAAAGCUGCAUUAAGAAACAAAGGUAAAAUUAGAAACACAAGCAAGACAAAGCAAAAUAAAACAAAAUAAUAAAGAAUAAGUACUCCCGCAAAAAUAACGUAAAUAAUUAUGAAAACAUAAGCAACAUAAAGACAUAAAUACAGUCGC